UCCCGGCGCCACAAGUGGGGACCAUGGUUAUUGGGCCUAAAGCGUUCGUAGCAGGUCGGAUAAAUCUCUUGUGAAAUCGUUGGGCUUAACCUAACGGCGGGCAGGAGAGACUGUUCGACUAGAGACCGGGAGGGGUUAGGAGUAUUCCUUGGGGAGCGGUAAAAUGCUAUAAUCCUUGGAAGACUACCUGUGGCGAAGGCGCCUAACCAGAACGGGUCUGACUGUGAGGGACGAAAGCCAGGGGA
rnacentral:rRNA from 1 species